rnacentral:misc_RNA from 1 species
CACAACCUUAGAGUUCCCUCACUAGGAGCAGUAGAAACUCUCAGCUGAAUCAAAAUUUUGACUUAAAGAAAUGCGGCAGUUCCACCAUCAGAGGAAGAAGGAGCCAUUGCUAACUUCACUUGGUCGCUGCACAAUUUCCUGUAUAUUGGUACUUCUUACUCAGUUUGCACUAUCCCUUGUCCCUCGCUUCUUCUCUGCUUCCUCUCUUCUCAUUCAACUCGCGCUUUCAGUUGUGGUGCUGCUGUUAGUCGUGGGUUUUGGGAAAUGGUGCAGGAGGCUUCUUGGGGUCUUUGCUUCGGCUCCAGCUUUCGUUUUCUGCAAUAUUUUCUUCGUUUGGGCUGUUUAUUUCGUCAUCGUUCGUCAAGCCAUUCCAUUUUUCAUUGAUGCUGUGUUCAAUGGAGAGGUUGCCAUGCUCUUCAUUGGUGUAUGUAGUAUCCUAUCAAGUGAUCCUGGUUUGGUAACUUCCCAAGUCGAUGAAAUUAAAGCUUUUGAAGUUGAAGCUCAAAAUGAGGUUGUAAGUUUGAAUUGAGCCAACUAAAGUAUUAUGACCAGCAUACAUGAACUAGACCGUGUAGACUUUAACAAAUGGCAUGCGUCAUGAGUGCCUGUGACAGUAGUAAUUUUAUUUUUUUUAUUUUUUAGUACUGCUAUUAUUUAUUGUUGUUAAACUUCUAACCUUUUUAUUUUAAUAAAUAUAGAGCAGAUAAGGUAGCUUUUGCUUGUUUAAUGUUUUCCUAGGGAUGUAUACCAAUACAUCCUAAUACACAGUUAUAAGCAACAGUUCAAAUGGUUUUGGAUCUUUGAAAUGUAAAUUGGACAAUGCUGAACUAACUCUGUGCUGUUAAUCUGAUGGCAUUUUGGUUAUAUACUAUUUUUAGAUGUUGUUGAGUUCCAGCUUGUUAGUUUAUAUGAAUUAGAAGUUCUCCGUUUCUCUUUUUGUAUCAGAGCAUACUUUACUCAUCCAACCAAAGCACACAGACACCUUUUUUUACUUCAAAGUUCUUGUACUUGUAAAUAUUGCAUGCCAAUUGCCAAUUUAAUCUCAUGCCGACAUGUAGCUGAAGACUAUUUGUUUAUUAGCUGCUAUGAUUUCUAGCCCUUUUCUUCUUCUUCUUCUCCUCACUAAACAUUAGCAACUUUCAAGAUUUGAUAUUUUUUCCUAUUUCCUACUCUUUAAAGUUCUAUAUAUUUGGGUUCUUUCUUUGCUGUCCUUAGAAAUAUGAUUGGUCAUUUAAUUGAUGUUUUAUUGUUUUUGCAGAGUUCCUCACUGUUGAAGAGGGUUAGAUAUUGUAAGAUCUGCAAGGCAUAUGUAAAGCGGUUUGACCACCAUUGUCCUGCUUUUGGGAAUUGUAUAGGUGAUUGCUUAUCGUCACAAUUUUCCUUGUAAGAUUGAUUAAAGCCUUCUCAGAGAGCGUUCAUUUGUAAAUGGCCUUUUCACUUAUUGAUGCUUGCAAUACUUGAUAACUGCACUUUGCAGGGCAGAAUAAUCAUGUUCUUUUCAUGGUUCUGCUACUUGGGUUUCUUAGUACUGAAGCUUCUUAUGUGAUGUGUUCAUUUCAGUGUAAGCUUAUGCAGGCAAUUUUGUGCUGCUUCCCCCCCUUCCCUCCUCCCUCCCUCUCUAUGGUUUUUACUUAUGAUAUCCUAGAUAAUAUUGCAUGACAUAGACAUGAUACAUUUAGAUAUAUAUAAUCUGCAAUAUACUCCGCUAGCUUGUGGUUGAGGAUUGAAACUCAUCAAAGCAUUCAUCUGCUUAAUUCCACUACUGCUCAUUCUUACAUUUCUUUUUUUUUUCCCAGGCAUCAGAGAUACCCAGAUCUUAGGUGGAAAUAGGUUUGAGAUUGGUCUGGCUGGAAGUUUGGCUAUCAGUACAUUGCUAUUCACUCUUCUCCAAGUACUAUGGCAGGGGGUGUUUAUGGCAUGGCAUAUAUAUUGUAUGUGCUUUAACAUCAGGACUGAUGAGUGGAUAAACUGGAAGAAAUACUCAGAGUUUCAAGUCAUUAUUCAGUCCCAGCCAGGCAGAGGCUUCACUGAGAUGAGAUUUACAAAUCCAUACGACAAGGGUAUUCUUCAAAAUGUGAAGGAGUUUUUUACAGUAAGAGACUGAUGGUACUAAUGCAUAUUUUGCUGUGCUAACAUUGAAUGGAUGUUCAUUUUCCCACAUUGCACUACGCCCUAAGUUAUGAGGUACCUAUGUUCAUAUACCACCCGAAUUCCUUGGUUUGGUGACAAAGGGGCCACAAGUUUUUCUAUAUGGCCUGUUGGAGGGAACCGAUAUUUCAUGUAAAUUGAUUUAAGUUAAACCAUAUCAAUGCCCUGUUGGAGGGAACUGAUAUUUCAUGUAAAUUGAUUUAAGUUAAACCAUAUCAAUGCCCUGUUGGAGGGAACUGAUAUUUCAUGUAAAUUGAUUUAAGUUAAACCAUAUCAAUGCCCUGUUGGAGGGAACUGAUAUUUCAUGUAAAUUGAUUUAAGUUAAACCAUAUCAAUGCAUACGACUGCUCUUUUGACCUAAUAAUCCCAUUUCUGCUGGAAGUUGUCCAUCUAGUAUCUACCCAUUAUUUGAAGCUAUCGAAUUAUUCAGCCCUACAGCAUGUAGCAAACACUAGUAGAAAUUCUUGUUUUCUGCAUGAUGUCCAAACGCAGGGUUAAGGUUUUAGCAUUUUUUCAGACAUCCCAACUGAAGUACGUGGUCAUGAUUUCUUUAACUGUCAAGCAUGCUGCUCUGCUUUGAGCCAGCGACCGAUGCUCCCCUUCUUGAGCGUUGGCUGGAGCUGGCUUGUGUAUUUGAAUUUGUAUUUGGAAAUUUGUAGUGUGACGUAUUUAGAUAUGUAUAAUUGUACAAUUACUUGUAUACCAUGAAAUUUUAGUAGUGGGGGUUGUGUAUAG